AGGUUUAUUAUAUUAUUUUUUAUUAUUGUUUAUUUCAUUAUUUAAUAGAAAUAACUUUAUUUUAUUUUGUCUUAGUAUAUUUUUAAUGAAUUGAUUAAAAUUAUUAUAGUUAAUUAGUAAUGUAAUUGGAUUAUGAAAUAUUGUUUUAAAUUAAUAAAAGUAAAUUUUUUUUAUUGUACCUUUUGUAUCAGGGUUUAUCAAUAUUUUAGUAUAUAUGUACUUCUCUCGAUUUGGGUUGAUCUAUAGACAAAUAUUAGUUAAUGUGUUAUAAUUAUUAAUAAUUUGUUUUUAGAGAUGAGAUGUUAUUCGUUUCCUAAGGUUUCUAGUUUCUUAAGAAAAAAUUUAAUUUUUUAGGUUUAAUGUUUUAUUUAAUUUUUUAAUUAAAAAUAUUAAACUAUUUAUUUUUAAGGGGAUAAGCUCUUAAAUAAAUAUUCUAUAAUUUAUUUAAUUUUAAUAUAAUAAUAGGCUUUAAAUCAGCUAUUUUUAAGAUUACGUUUUAGUUCAUUAUUAUUUAUUAUGAUUUUAUAAUUAUUUUAGAUUUUUUAUUAAGAUAAUUAAUUUAAUGUUUAAAUUUUUGUAAUAAUGAUGGAAUUAGUAUAUUUAUUUUGUUUAUAAUAUUUUUUAUUAUUAAUUUAUUAUAAGGAACUAGGCAAAUUGAUUUCCGCCUGUUUAUCAAAAACAUGUCCUCUUGAUAAUAUUUUGAGGUCUGGCCUGCUCACUGAAAAUUUUAAAGAGCCGCGGUAUUUUGACCGUGCAAAGGUAGCAUAAUCAUUAGUUUCUUAAUUAGAGGCUGGAAUGAAUGGCUUGACGAGAAAUUAACUGUCUCUUAAUAAAUUUUAAAAAUUAACUUUUGAGUUAAAAGGCUUAAAUUUUUCUUUAGGACGAGAAGACCCUAUAGAGCUUAACAUUUAAAUUAGAUAUUUUUUUAAGAUGGUUUUUUAUAUUUAAUGGUAAUGUUUUGUUGGGGUGACAUGAAGAAUUAAUAAACUCUUUAUUAUAGAAUCAUUAAUUUAUGUUUAUUUUGAUCCAUAAUUUAUGAUCAUAAGAUCAAGUUACCUUAGGGAUAACAGCGUAAUUGUUUUUUAGAGCUCAUAUUGACAAAGCAGAUUGCGACCUCGAUGUUGGAUUAGGAAAAAUUUUGGGUGUAGUAGCUCAAUAAUUAGGUCUGUUCGACCUUUAAAUUCUUACAUGAUCUGAGUUCAGACCGGCGUAAGCCAGGUCGGUUUCUAUCCUAAGAUUAAUAAAUUCAUAUUAGUACGAAAGGACCAUAUGGAUGGAAUAUUUUUUUUAUUUUGAUUAAAGUUAAUUGUU
rnacentral:rRNA from 1 species